GAAAACGAAUUCCCACUGCCUAUUUUGAGAUCUCACUAACACUUAAAGGGAAAUCUGAUGAAGUUUGUAAGAAGCUGUGGUGUUUCUUUCUGUCAGGUUCUGAAGAAAGUCUCCAAAUACAUUCAAGAGCAGAAUGAGAAGAUCUAUGCUCCACAAGGCCUCCUCCUGACAGACCCUAUUGAGCGAGGACUGCGAGUUAUUGAAAUUACCAUUUAUGAAGACAGAGGCAUGAGCAGUGGAAGAUAAACCGAAGAAUUAAAGAUCCCACUUCCAGCCGGGCCCCUCAUGUAUCCACUGGCCGACCGCAGAGUGUCCCUACCUCCUCUCCAGAGCAUCAUUCCUUUCUAUCUGCUGCCAGAGCCACGGUGCCAUUUACUCCAAGGACUCACUUUCUAAAAUUCCACACCUGGAGUGACCUCUAGUCGCUCAGCAUCCACUUUGUGUCUCCAAAUUGUGUAGGACUCUGUAAUCUUUUGAUUAGUUUCUGAGAAAACACAAUGAAGCACUUC
rnacentral:sRNA from 1 species